rnacentral:rRNA from 1 species
AGGGGGACACCGAGUGCGAGGGCAUAGAGCCCUCGCUUUUGUAGACCGUAAGGAGGUCUACGAAUAAGGGCUGGGCAAGACCGGUGCCAGCCGCCGCGGUAACACCGGCAGCCCAAGUGAUGGCCGAUAUUAUUGGGCCUAAAGCGUCCGUAGCUGGCCGCGCAAGUUCGUCGGGAAAUCCACUCGCUUAACGAGUGGGCGUCCGGCGAAAACUGUGCGGCUUGGGACCGGAAGAUCCAAGGGGUACGUCCGGGGUAGGAGUGAAAUCCCGUAAUCCUGGACGGACCACCGAUGGCGAAAGCACCUUGGAAGGACGGAUCCGACAGUGAGGGACGAAAGCUAGGGUCUCGAACCGGAUUAGAUACCCGGGUAGUCCUAGCCGUAAACGAUGCUCGCUAGGUGUGGCGCAGGCUACGAGCCUGCGCUGUGCCGUAGGGAAGCCGUGAAGCGAGCCGCCUGGGAAGUACGUCUGCAAGGAUGAAACUUAAAGGAAUUGGCGGGGGAGCACUACAACCGGAGGAGCCUGCGGUUUAAUUGGACUCAACGCCGGACAUCUCACCAGCUCCGACAGCAGUAAUGACGGUCAGGUUGAUGACCUUACCCGACGCUGCUGAGAGGAGGUGCAUGGCCGCCGUCAGCUCGUACCGUGAGGCGUCCUGUUAAGUCAGGCAACGAGCGAGACCCGCACCUCUAGUUGCCAGCAGCAUCUUGCGAUGGCUGGGUACACUAGGGGGACUGCCGUCGCUAAGACGGAGGAAGGAACGGGCAACGGUAGGUCAGUAUGCCCCGAAUGAGCUGGGCUACACGCGGGCUACAAUGGUCGAGACAGUGGGAUGCGACACCGAGAGGUGGAGCUAAUCUCCUAAACUCGAUCGUAGUUCGGAUUGCGGGCUGAAACCCGCCCGCAUGAAGCUGGAUUCGGUAGUA